GGUCUCUGUGUUGGGCGUCUGUCUGCCCGCAUGCCUGCCUCUCUGUGGCUCUGAAGGAGGCAGGGGCUGGGCCUGCAGCUGCCUGGACAGAGCGG
rnacentral:pre_miRNA from 1 species